AGCGAACGCUGGCGGCAGGCUUAACACAUGCAAGUCGAGCGGACCUUCCGGGGUCAGCGGCGGUCGGGGGAGGAACGCGGGGGAACGUGCCUUCCGGUUCGGAAUAAUCCUGGGUAACUAGGGCUAAUGCAGGAUACGCUACUAUGGGGCAGGGUUUACUGCCGGAAGAUCGGCACGGGUCUGAUUAGCCAGUUGGUGGGGUAUGGGCCUAUCAAGGCGACGAUCAGUAGCUGGUCUGAGAGGAUGAGCAGCCACGCUGGAACUGAGGCACGGCCCAGACUCCUACGGAAGGGAGCGGUGGGGUGUAUUAGACAAGGGGCGCAAGCGUAGUACAGCCACGCGGCGUAAGUGAUGAUGGCCUUAGGAUUGUAAAGCCCUUUUAUCCGGGACGUUAAUGACGGUAACGGAGAAAUAAGCCCCGGCUAACUUCGUG
rnacentral:rRNA from 1 species